CAUGCAAUUUAGACUUGGUACAAAUUCAAACAGUACAAAAUUUGAUAAAAUAAGAAGUAUAACACUUUUGCCAAACAGACUCCUUUCCUAAAGGUGAGAUUAUACUGCAUUCUAAAACAUUACGAAGACCUGUAAAAUUUAAGCAAAUGUGAACAUUCUAAAUACAUUGCUAUCCCUAUGGUGUUUUCCCCUGAUGUACCUGAGAUCUAUAUGCAGACCUGUUUU
rnacentral:lncRNA from 1 species